GAAAACAAGUUAAUCAUGAACACCGGGAUGGGGGCAGCUGUGGCCUUCAGUCAGCUAACCUUGGUCAGUUAAUCCUACAUACCAAGCUUAUCGUGCAGAACCUCCCUAACAAUUGAGGAGUGGUCUUACCUUGCUCUCGCUUAACCCCAGGAUGUAUGUCUUGCAAAGAUAAUGUGCAGCUGUGGAAAAUUACUAAGAGUUAAGUGUUUUGAAAAUGCUAUAUAAACCCUUGGUUUUGAGUGCUCGAGGUCCUUGUUGAGACCUGCUGCGUCGGGCUGACACUUGGACCCCAGCUAGCUGGUUCCUGAAUAAAUUCCUCUUGCUUAUUGCAUCAAGAGACGCCUUCUGUGAGUGAUUUAGGGUAGCGCUCUCCUCUGGGAAAAAUCCAACAUUUGGGGGCUCGUCCGGGAUCUGCGCUCACCCCGCUUCACUCCCGAAGUCGCUCUUGGAGGAAGAGGUUCCACAUGGAAAGCCUCACUUCCCAGGACUUCCCCUCACCUAGGCCAACUUGGAUGACUGGUCACUCUACCUAUGGAGAAGCCCAUUUAAUUUAACAGCGACAGGCGUGGAGGAUAAAGCUGUGUACCAGGGGACUUCUGGCAACAUCUGAAGAGGUUUUUCCUGGUCACAACUAGGGGGGCAGUGCUGCUGGCAUCUAGUGGAUAGAGGCCAGGAGUGUUGCUACAGAAGCCUACGAUGCACAGGGCGGCUCUUCUUCCCCCCCAGAGACCCAGCCCCAAAUGUCAACAGUGCCAAGACUGAAAACUCCUGGCUCCAAAGGCUAGUAAAAGACCCCCUAACAGGUAUGCCUGUAAUUUGCAAAGUACACAUCUAAAAGUAAUCACCAUUGGAUGAGUCACCUGUAAAGCAA